rnacentral:lncRNA from 1 species
GGUUAGUCCACGACAUAUCCUUUUGUAAUUGUUCUGGGUGUGAGUUUUGACUAUUUUUGAUAUAUUUGUUUAGGAUGCAUAUAUGUUGACCCGGUAUUUGAUUUGUUUGGUGGAUUAGUGAUGUAUUUGUCAUCGUACUAUCCGGUUUAAUUUGCAUACAUCAAUCAUGGUAUCGAUGUAUUUUGUUAGCUUUUGUUUAUUUAUAUUUAAGUUCAUUAUAAAAUUGUCACCUCAUAAGCAUAAGAU